UGCAGAGACGCCGGAAGAGCGAGGGCUGAGCGCACGUUGCCUACUUGGCCGCGGGCCUGGGAAGUGGGGAGAGAGUUAGGAGCUUGGGGUGGGGGUGGAUCCCAGGGAAGCCCCCUUUCCUCCUCCCAAACCCAUCAGGGACCCGGGAUUUGCUGCAGGAGGCGCGGGGCCCACUGUCCCCGGCUGGGCCUCGGCAGGGAUGGGCGGGCAGGAGGCGGAGCACUGCGCGGGGCUGGCGGGAAAGGGGCGGAGAGGAUAACUAGGGCUCUGGCGGGUUGAGGGACAGUGGUAGAACCUGUGGGCUAGUUAGGCUGCUCGCCACCUGGGACGAAGGGGAACGAGGACCGCCGCUUUAAGGGAGCGAGAAGGCACAUGCAGUCCCGGGGUCGGACUGCAGCCAUCUCUUCCAGCGGGAGAUGGCAUACCGGCGGGCGCACCCGCGGCAGCGACUAUCCUGCGCGCAGAAGCUGAACACCGGUGGGGCUUUGAGGACUGCGACCUUCUGCCCCAUAGUCUACGUGGUGUGUGCCAGUCGUCCUGUUCUUCACAGUCCAAGUCUAGCAACCAUCCGGACGCCGCUCCUGCCUGAAGACUGUAGGGACCAAGGGAGAGGGAGAGCGGUGGUAGGACUGUCCAGGGCGUAUGCUGGGAAGGCUGGAGUUGCUGGAGUAUUGUUUGCCGGGGCUGGUGCCUGUGUCUAGGUGCUUCCUCACGCUUUCAGGGGCAGAAUGGGGAUUGGGGGGAGAGAACGGGUUUGCUGAACUUAGUCUGAGAGCUGACUGUGCACAUGCCCUUGGCGACUUGUGCACGUUUGGACAACGGUUUAAUAGAAACACUUGGGAGCAGCAUCGGUCUCUGGAGGGUCCCCAAAGACCCUCUUGGGAUGGUACAGCAUGUGUUCGGGUUUGGGAGGGAAGGAAGGGUGUUGUGUGUGAAUGUCCUUCCUAGGGAGGAGAGUGUCUCAAGGAGAUUCGAUUUUCUUCGAUUUGCUGCAAUUCCAUAAGCCAAAUCAGGCUUUCAAGGCUUUAAAGUAAAUUACGGAAUUCUUAAUUACCUGAUUAACAGAAUGAUGAAGUUGUCUUCUAAUUUUCAAGGACAGGUCUUGAAAUGGCUGUGGCAGUGUAGAAGCCAAAAUGUGAGCUUCCAGAAGUGGUUUCUGAAAAAUAAAGAGUUGAAUGUACACGACUAAGCAGGCACAGGAAUCUGAAAAACCACAGGAGUGAUGAUAGGCAGAUCCCACCAGCCAGAGAUGCCUGGAGUCCUAUCUUCCCAGACUCACGGUGCCCAGAUGCAAGGAAGCUGUUACUCGGCCGCCAUCUUGCUCCUCCUCUAUUUCUUCAUUUUAAAUUCCAAGUGUUAACUUGCUCACCAGGCUCCAUGGCUCCCUCCCACUGCCUCGUGUCCUCUGCGCCUCCGCUGCCCGCAGCCCAUCCCGGCUUGGACUGCCCACCGCGCCACCUGAACCAUUUCAUUUUUAAGGAGCAGUUCUGUUGUUAACUUUUGUUUGAAGCUUCAGAAGACUUGGAAAUUGCUGAGAGCCCCAGGGCUAGCAGAGGCCCUGAGUUCUAGUGUUGGCUGUGCUUCCAUUUGUCUUAGGAGGGAAUUCUUGUUUCCUCAUCCUGAAAAUGGGGACAUUGAAAUAGUUGAAUCCUGGGCAGCACCUGUGGCUCAGUAGGUUGGGUGCCCACCCCAUAUACCCAGGGUGGUGGGUUUGAACCCGGUCCCAGCCAAACUGCAACAAAAAUAGCCAGGCAUUGUGGUGGGUGCCCUGUGGUCCCAGCUACUCGGGAGGCUGAGGCAAGAGAAUCGCGUAAGCCAAAGAGCUGUAGGUUGCUGUGAGCUGUGACUUGACA